GGGGAAUUUUCCGCAAUGGGCGAAAGCCUGACGGAGUGACGCCGCGUGGGGGACGAAGGCCUUCGGGUCGUAAACCCCUGUCAGAGGGAAAGAAGGGUGCUGGCGUGACUAGCGCCGGCAUCUGACGGUACCUUCAGAGGAAGCACCGGCUAACCCUGUGCCAGCAGCCGCGGUAAUACAGGGGGUGCAAACGUUGCUCGGAAUUAUUGGGCGUAAAGCGCGCGCAGGCGGCUACUUAAGUCGGAUGUGAAAGCCCCUGGCUCAACUGGGGAAGUGCACCCGAAACUGAGUGGCUUGAGUGCGAAAGAGGGUCGCGGAAUUCCCGGUGUAGAGGUGAAAUUCGUAGAUAUCGGGAGGAACACCGGUGGCGAAGGCGGCGACCAGGGUCGACACUGACGCUGAGGCGCGAAAGCGUGGGGAGCAAA
rnacentral:rRNA from 1 species